rnacentral:tRNA from 1 species
GGAGUUAUGGCUCAGUGGUUGAGAGUACUUAUUCUUUCAGAGGACCUGGGUUCAAUUCCCAGUACCU